AGUGAACGCUGGCGGUAGGCCUAACACAUGCAAGUCGAACGGCAGCACAGUAAGAGCUUGCUCUUACGGGUGGCGAGUGGCGGACGGGUGAGGAAUACAUCGGAAUCUACUUUUUCGUGGGGGAUAACGUAGGGAACUUACGCUAAUACCGCAUACGACCUACGGGUGAAAGCAGGGGAUCUUCGGACCUUGCGCGAUUGAAUGAGCCGAUGUCGGAUUAGCUAGUUGGCGGGGUAAAGGCCCACCAAGGCGACGAUCCGUAGCUGGUCUGAGAGGAUGAUCAGCCACACUGGAACUGAGACACGGUCCAGACUCCUACGGGAGGCAGCAGUGGGGAAUAUUGGACAAUGGGCGCAAGCCUGGUCCAGCCAUACCGCGUGGGUGAAGAAGGCCUUCGGGUUGUAAAGCCCUUUUGUUGGGAAAGAAAAGCAGCAGGUUAAUACCCCGCUGUUCCGACGGUACCCAAAGAAUAAGCACCGGCUAACUUCGUG
rnacentral:rRNA from 1 species